rnacentral:rRNA from 1 species
GGACGGGUGAGUAACACGUGGGUAACCUGCCUGUAAGACUGGGAUAACUCCGGGAAACCGGAGCUAAUACCGGAUAGUUCCUUGAACCGCAUGGUUCAAGGAUGAAAGACGGUUUCGGCUGUCACUUACAGAUGGACCCGCGGCGCAUUAGCUAGUUGGUGGGGUAAUGGCUCACCAAGGCGACGAUGCGUAGCCGACCUGAGAGGGUGAUCGGCCACACUGGGACUGAGACACGGCCCAGACUCCUACGGGAGGCAGCAGUAGGGAAUCUUCCGCAAUGGACGAAAGUCUGACGGAGCAACGCCGCGUGAGUGAUGAAGGUUUUCGGAUCGUAAAGCUCUGUUGUUAGGGAAGAACAAGUGCGAGAGUAACUGCUCGCACCUUGACGGUACCUAACCAGAAAGCCACGGCUAACUACGUGCCAGCAGCCGCGGUAAUACGUAGGUGGCAAGCGUUGUCCGGAAUUAUUGGGCGUAAAGGGCUCGCAGGCGGUUUCUUAAGUCUGAUGUGAAAGCCCCCGGCUCAACCGGGGAGGGUCAUUGGAAACUGGGAAACUUGAGUGCAGAAGAGGAGAGUGGAAUUCCACGUGUAGCGGUGAAAUGCGUAGAGAUGUGGAGGAACACCAGUGGCGAAGGCGACUCUCUGGUCUGUAACUGACGCUGAGGAGCGAAAGCGUGGGGAGCGAACAGGAUUAGAUACCCUGGUAGUCCA